AUACGGAGGAUGCAAGCGUUAUCCGGAUUUAUUGGGUUUAAAGGGUGCGUAGGCGGAUGAUUAAGCGUGAGGUGAAAUGCCACGGCUCAACAGUGGAACUGCCUCGCGAACUGGUUGUCUUGAAUGCUCCUGCCGUGGGAGGAAUGUGUGGUGUAGCGGUGAAAUGCAUAGAGAUCACACAGAACACCGAUUGCGAAGGCAUCUCACGAAGGGGUGAUUGACGCUGAGGCACGAAAGCGUGGGGAUCAAACAGGAUUAGAUACCCUGGUAGUCCACGCAGUAAACGAUGAUAACUAACCGCUGGGUCGUAGUGAUUCAGUGGCCAAGCGAAAGCGAUAAGUUAUCCACCUGGGGAGUACGACCGCAAGGUUGAAACUCAAAUGAAUUGGCGGGG
rnacentral:rRNA from 1 species